CAGUCGCCACGGGAAUACCGGCAGCCCGAGUGAUGGCCGCUAUUAUUGGGCCUAAAGCGUCCGUAGCCGGCCAGACAAGUCCGUUGGGAAAUCCACGCGCUCAACGCGUGGACGUCCGGCGGAAACUGUCUGGCUUGGGGCCGGAAGAUCUGAGGGGUACGUCCGGGGUAGGAGUGAAAUCCCGUAAUCCUGGACGGACCGCCGGUGGCGAAAGCGCCUCAGAAAGACGGACCCGACGGUGAGGGACGAAAGCUAGGGUCUCGAACCGGAUUAGAGACCCCAGUAGUCCCUGUCUCUUAUU
rnacentral:rRNA from 1 species